UACGGAGGAGGCAAGCGUUAUCCGGAAUUAUUGGGCGUAAAGCGUCCGCAGGUGGCACUUCAAGUCUGUCGUCAAAGACUGGGGCUUAACCCUGGAGAGGCCGUGGAAACUGAAUAGCUAGAGUGCAGUAGGGGUAGAGGGAAUUCCCGGUGUAGCGGUGAAAUGCGUAGAGCUCGGGAAGAACAUCGGUGGCGAAAGCGCUCUGCUGGACUGCAACUGACACUCAGGGACGAAAGCUAGGGGAGCGAAUGGG
rnacentral:rRNA from 1 species